rnacentral:rRNA from 1 species
GUGCGAUGGAGCGACGCCGCGUGUAGGAUGAAGUCCUUCGGGAUGUAAACUACUGUCAGGGGAAAGAAAGUUCUGAUCUACCCCAGAGGAAGAGGCGGCUAACUCUGUGCCAGCAGCCGCGGUAAUACAGAGGCCUCGAGCGUUAGGCGGAAUCACUGGGCUUAAAGCGUGUGUAGGUGGAUGCCUAAGUGCCUUGUGAAAUCCCACGGCUUAACCGUGGAAUUGCUUGGCAUACUGGGUGUCUUGAGCCACUCAGGGGCUACCGGAACAAAUGGUGGAGCGGUGAAAUGCGUAGAUAUCAUUUGGAACGCCAAUGGUGAAAACAGGUAGCUGGGGGUGUGCUGACACUGAGACACGAAAGCCAGGGGAGCAAACGGGAUUAGAUACCCCGGUAGUCCUGGCCCUAAACGAUGUCCACUAGAUCGUGGCGGUUCUAACGCCGUCAUGGUCGAAGCAAAAGUGCUAAGUGGACCGCCUGGGAAGUACGGUCGCAAGGCUA